rnacentral:lncRNA from 1 species
UUCGCUUCUUGAAAAACAUCUGUACAAUUGGAUCCCGUCCACAAGGAAAUGUAAACAAGGUAAAUAAUUGACUACAUUAAUUAUCCCUGAAUAGGUUGCUUCGUUCUCCUAAAAACUCACAAACUUGACCAAACUUUGGUAAUUCAUAGGGGAACGAAGCUAUCCUGUACAAUAUACAUACAUGAAGUAAGAGCCCCUAAUUCACCUAUUCACCAAUAGCGACGCCAUCUUGAAUUUCGCGUUUAACGCAAUGCAUUAUCGGUGAUCCAGGGUAAUUGAGCGUUUUUGAAGGGCUGUAAAUCAAAUAUGUAGGCGAAAACACACGUUUUUAUAGUUGAAAAUAACAGACAAUUUUUAGAAGAACUAGGAAAACACACAAAAGCUGGGGAAAAUAAAAAAAAUCAGGAUAAAAUCUAUAGUUUAAAUCUUUGUUAGGCCUAAAAAGGGAAAUAAUUUCAACAAAGUGCGCAUAAAAUUGAUUUACACUGCCUCAUUGUCCUCAAGAAAGUGUUUAUGAAAAAAAAUUAUCGUAUUGUGUCUCAAUACGACAUUAAAGGCUUUUGAAUUCGGAUUUUUACCCUGGAUAACCCAUAAUGCAUCAUGAUUCAAGAUGGCGUCGCUAUUGGUGAAUAAGUGAAUUACAGUAGCAUCAAGUAGCAAUGAUAACGAUUUUUCAAAAACCAAACUUUUAUCCACGGCUAAGGGCAUUUCACAUCGUUCUAAAAUAUCUGAAAGCCCGUCGUUUGCAUCGAUACAGGCAUGUGCCGCAUUGAAGGAAAAUGUAAACAUUUAUGAAUGUCUCAAUCGGAUAUAGUCGAGUAGCUGGUGCGUUAAUUAACAAAAAACUCGAUUGAGAUACGGGUUUAAAAA